GCCAGACUCCUACGGGAGGCAGCAGUGGGGGAUAUUGCACAAUGGGCGAAAGCCUGAUGCAGCGACGCCGCGUGGGGGAAGACGGUCUUCGGAUUGUAAACCUCUGUCUUUGGGGAAGAAAUCAGACGGUACCCAAAGAGGAAGCUCCGGCUAACUACGUGCCAGCAGCCGCGGUAAUACGUAGGGAGCGAGCGUUGUCCGGAAUUACUGGGUGUAAAGGGCGUGUAGCCGGGAAGGCAAGUCAGAUGUGAAAUCCGGAGGCUCAACCUCCGAAUUGCAUUUGAAACUGUUUUUCUUGAGUACUGGAGAGGCAGACAGAAUUCCUUGUGUAGCGGUGAAAUGCGUAGAUAUAAGGAGGAACACCAUUGGCGAAGGCGGUCUGCUGGACAGCAACUGACGGUGAGGCGCGAAAGCGUGGGGAGCAAACAGGAUUAGAUACCCUUGUACG
rnacentral:rRNA from 1 species